AGCUUCCGGUUUCUUUGUCUGUAAACGCUUUCUUUGUGUUUGUCAGAUAGUGUUUUUCUUCAACAGUUCCACAUUCUCAUUUGGACGCUUUUGCAUUUGUUCUCUUAUUUGCAGAUUUUCUUUUCUUCUAACUUCAGCUGCUUUUCCUUUUUUCUUUUCAAUUUUUUUUAAAAUUUUUCUCCUCUCAUUUUCAUCGGUAUUUACUAACAAAUAAGACCGAGUAAAACCCAACUCAAAUUUACUGUUCAUUUGCCUUUCUUUUAGAAGAAUCACAGAAAGGGAAGAGAGAGCUCUCUUGCUGGGGUGUUUUUUGGUUUUUGGGUAGGUGUAGCUUUGGGCAGUCAUGGUGAGGAGACAUGGAUGGCAACUACCAGCUCACACGUUUCAGGUUGUUGCAAUUACUGUAUUCUGUUUAUUAGUGAUUGCAUUUUAUGCUUUCAUUGCCCCUUUCCUUGGAGGCCACAUCUGGGAGUACGCGCUGAUUGCCACAUACUCUCCAGUGGUACUCCUUGUUUUUAUUCUUUAUGUUCGGUGUACUGCAAUUAAUCCUGCAGAUCCUGGCAUUAUGUCCAAAUUCAACACAGACAUAAGAAAUAAGCCCGAUAUGCAUAAUGGGUUAUCAGAGAAAGAUUUGCCAAAAAAAUUUGAUGAAAUUGGCAGUGCAUUGCAUUCUUCCGCAUCAUCGGCUUCUAGAAGCUCUAUAGCUGCACCUAACUCUAGUAAGAAAAGUUCAGCGAGAGAAAUUGGGGAAGUAGAUAUGGCAGUGCAGCCUCUGACCAGAAAAUCUUCUUGUAACUUUGGAGGAAUCUUCUGUGCAUUGUUUGUUCAUGAAGAUUGCCGCAAACAGGAAGGUGCAGCUGAACAACAGGGCACUGGUGAAGAUGCUUUGUUUUGUACAUUGUGCAAUGCUGAGGUACGCAAAUACAGCAAACAUUGUCGAAGUUGUGAUAAAUGCGUUGAUGGUUUUGAUCACCAUUGCCGGUGGCUUAACAAUUGUGUUGGGUACAAAAAUUAUGUAACUUUUAUUUCUCUAAUGGCCCUUAGUCUUGUUUGGCUUGUACUUGAAGCUGGAGUUGGUAUUGCUGUCUUAGUGCGUUGCUUUGUAAAUAAGAAAAGCAUGGAUGCUGAAAUUGUGGACACACUGGGAAAUGGUUUCUCUCGAGCUCCUUUUGCUACAGUUGUGGCUGUGUGUACUGCAGUCUCAAUUCUAGCAUGUAUACCUUUGGGUGAACUCUUCUUUUUCCACAUGAUAUUGAUCAGAAAGGGUAUCACAACCUACGAGUACGUUGUGGCAAUGAGAGCAAUGAGUGAAGCACCUGCUGGAGCAUCUGUGGAUGAGGAGCUGCCAAAUGUGCUAUACUCCCCAACAGGAUCUGCAACUACAGGCUUUAGUGGUGGUAGUUCACUUGGCUUGCAGUACAAGGGAGCAUGGUGUACGCCUCCCAGGGUAUUUGUGGAUUAUCAGGAUGAAGUUGUACCACACUUGGAGCCUGGAAUGGUCCCAUCAACUGUUGAUCCAGAUGCAGCUGCAGUUGCAGAAAGAGGCAACAAGGUACCCAAAAGGCCUGUUCGAAUUAGUGCUUGGAAACUUGCAAAGUUAGAUUCCACUGAGGCUAUGAGAGCAGCAGCCAAGGCCAGGGCAUCUUCCUCAGUUUUGAAGCCUGUUGAUAACCGUCAUUUACAAGAUCCUGAAUAUAGUUCUAGUGGCAACAUGAGUGUCAGAAGUAGUGUGAGUACUGACAAGGGAGCAAACAAGGAGAUCAAGAAUGAGUCGAGACUACCUAUGGUUGGAAACUCUUUUGCUCCAAGUCAAGGCAGCAGGGAUGAGUAUGAAACUGGGACUCGGAGUGUUAGUAGCUUCAGCAGCCCAAGCCACAUUCAUGAGUCAGUCACACUUAGUCCUCUGCCACAAGUGAAUGGUUUAGGUCGUUUUAAUGCAGAAACUUCGGUCACUGGCUUUGUUCCUGAUCAUCCUGUAACUGCUAAGGCAGUUUUUCCUUCUGGAAGCAAUCCUUUAUCAGGAAAUGAGGAAAAGAUUGUGCAGAAGGGAACUAGUACUGAACCAUUACUUUUUUCAGGACCAGCUACUUCUCUUCUUAGAGAUGUCAAAAGGACAUCUGUUGUUUGGGAUCAAGAUGCUGGCAGGUAUGUAUCAGUUCCUGUGUCAGCUUCUGAAGCUAGAAACAAAUCAACAAUACAAAUGGGAUUGCCAAAUUCUAGUGUAGAAAUGAGCAAUCAUGGCAAGAAGCCAAUAAUUCCAUCACAAGAGCCUUCAUCUUCAGCAACCAAGACUCCGGCUCAGCAAGCUGAGAAACUGAUGUACACAGGGGACUCCAUUUUCUUCGGUGGCCCACUUUUGAGUGCCCCAAUUAGGGAUGGUUUAGGAAAUGGAGGUUCAGGUUCAAGAGAGGGCCAACAGAGGUUAGCACUGAGCUUACCACGGGAGUCUAGAUUCAAAAGAGAUUCCACCUCAAACCAACUUCCUGUCUUUGUUCCUGGGGGUUUAGAGCAGAACCCUCCUCCUGGAUCUGGUUUAACGAAGAGUUAAAAAGAUUUGAACUUGGAAUUGGGAUUUGUGUACAAUUUUUGGUCCAAUUAUAGGGUGAGUUAAAAAGUGAUGGACUUGAAGAAGAAACCUCUUGUGGGAGCAUUUGAGCAGCCCCAGGAACCUUGCAAUUUUGAGCUAUUGUAAAUCUGUGUUGUGAGGUUCAAGCGGUUUCUUCUUUGAAGGGACACUUAAGGUAAAGAAGCACAUGCAAGGUAUCUCAACAUAGCUUGUCCCCUUAGAUUUCUUUCUAAUCCUGUACAAUUGGCAUUGUUGAUGGAUUGCAAAAGAUUAACUAUUCAUCUCUUUAAUGGUGUUGGGAAUUGAUAUGUUAUUUCCAUUCCACUGACCCUGCUUUGCUCUUAUCAUAUCUUAUGAUAAUUUA
rnacentral:misc_RNA from 1 species